AAGCACCUGGCUGCCUCUCUGGAUGCCUAGGGUUGGAAGGACCAGUGUCCUUUUUCCUCUCCAGUGGCAUGAGGUGAUGAUCAUCACUGGAGAAAACCCCUGAACUCUUUGAGCCCUGGGCCAUUUCCCCUGAAGAAUCAAUCAUCAAGAAUCAAUAAACCCUUUGAGCAAA